rnacentral:rRNA from 1 species
GACGAACGCUGGCGGCGUGCUUAACACAUGCAAGUCGAACGGAAAGGCCCUGCUUUUGUGGGGUGCUCGAGUGGCGAACGGGUGAGUAACACGUGAGUAACCUGCCCUUGACUUUGGGAUAACUUCAGGAAACUGGGGCUAAUACCGGAUAGGAGCUCCUGCUGCAUGGUGGGGGUUGGAAAGUUUCGGCGGUUGGGGAUGGACUCGCGGCUUAUCAGCUUGUUGGUGGGGUAGUGGCUUACCAAGGCUUUGACGGGUAGCCGGCCUGAGAGGGUGACCGGCCACAUUGGGACUGAGAUACGGCCCAGACUCCUACGGGAGGCAGCAGUGGGGAAUAUUGCACAAUGGGCGGAAGCCUGAUGCAGCAACGCCGCGUGCGGGAGGACGGCCUUCGGGUUGUAAACCGCUUUCGCCUGUGACGAAGCGUGAGUGGCGGUAAUGGGUAAAGAAGCACCGGCUAACUACGU